rnacentral:rRNA from 1 species
GAUGAACGCUCGCGGCAGGCCUAACACAUGCAAGUCGAGGGAGAAGCCUUUCGGGGCAGAAACCGGCGCACGGGUGCGUAACGCGUAUGCAACCUACCUUUCACAGGGGGAUAGCCCGAAGAAAUUUGGAUUAAUACCCCAUAAUAUUGUUGGAUGGCAUCAUCUGAUAAUUAAAACUGCGGUGGUGAAAGAUGGGCAUGCGUCCUAUUAGCUAGUUGGAGUGGUAACGGCACCCCAAGGCUACGAUAGGUAGGGGUCCUGAGAGGGAGAUCCCCCACACUGGUACUGAGACAGGGACCAGACUCCUACGGGAGGCAGCAGUGAGGAAUAUUGGUCAAUGGUCAGAAGACUGAACCAGCCAUGCCGCGUGCAGGAAGAAUGCCUUAUGGGUUGUAAACUGCUUUUAUAUGGGAAGAAUAAGGUGUACGUGUACAUUGAUGACGGUACCAUAUGAAUAAGCAUCGGCUAACUCCGUG